rnacentral:lncRNA from 1 species
GUCAUCAUGGGUCCGGGUUCGAAUCCCUCCUGACAGGAACACUCAAAGCCACCAGGAACGUUUGAGCAUGUGCCGUUUCCACAGGGGUUUCCGAUCGAGCACUCGUCCGUAUCUGUCCAAUCAACCAUCAGACCAUCAGAAAGGAGUUGAUGGGCGGGCAGAGUUCGCAGGGGUUUCCCCAGGCUCCGCCCAGUGAGCAGCAGCAGGAGGCGCGGGUCACGCCCACCCCAAUCUCAGCACUGCAGGAGAUGCCUCCGUCGCCGCGGUCCAGCGUGUCCAGGAAGCAGUUCCCCACCCGCGUGUCUGACAGAGAACAGAGACAAGCCGCGUUAAGUUUACAGUGAUGGCGAUGAAUGUGGCAGACUGAAGCGGGACGGCUCCAUACCGACGCAGCCUACGCCCGACGGGUUGAGCUCGAAGUCUGGCGGACAGUUGCACAGGCAGAAGCUUCUGUGCUCAGCUGGUGACCCGGAGGACAGUCGCACUCAUAACUGCCCUCGGUGUUCAGACACGUCCCGCCGCGGCACAGCAGGGGGUUGCGCUCGCACUCGUCGAUGUCUGCGGGACAGAGAGAGAGACGCUGUGACACACAGGCUUUCAGAGGCCGGGAAGAACGUCCAGGGUUCGAGUCUCACCCAUGCAGUUCUUCAUCAUCAUGAAGCCGCUCUCGUAGCCGUCGAAGCACUCGCACUCGAAGCUGCCGGGCGUGUUGACGCAGACGCCGUGUCCACACAGGUCUGGAGAGAUGGUGCACUCGUCGAUAUCUGUGGGAGCGAGGGGAACAGCAUGGUGUUGGUGGAGUCCAACUUGCUGCCGUGGGAACAUUCACAGUUGAAGGAACCGGCUACGUUGCGGCACACACCAUUGAUGCAGGGGUUGGAGUCACAUUCGUUGAUGUCUGAACAAAAGGAUGACAGUUAAGAAUGAAAGAUACAAUGUUUACAAUUUUAUGUGAAAUUCACGAAAAAACACAAUGAACGAAAAAAAACGUAGUCGAAAGGAAACCUUCGCAAGUCUCAGAGUCAGCUUUGAAGGAGAAUCCUUUGGGGCAAGAGCAAGUGUAACUUCCGGGCGUGUUUCUACACAUGCCAUUGUCGCACAGUAACCGAUUCACCAAACAUUCGUUAAUGUCUGAAAGAUACGCAAAAAGUUUACAAAAUUCAUUAAAACACAACUACUACUCAUAGGUUUCAGAGCAAUGUUGUACAAGAAGUCUUUUGUACCCGAAACAUAGUAGAAGCUAAGUUUUGCUACCUAAUAAAAACUUACGUAAUAAAAAAAAAUCGCGCAACUUACCCACGCAAUUCUUGCCGCUAGCGUCGGACUCGUAGCCGAUGUUACAGAUGCAACGGUAGCUCCCGCGCAAGUUCUCGCAGAUCCCGUUUUGACAGAUGUCUGGAUCCAAAGCGCAUUCGUUGAUGUCUGCGAAGAAACCAAAUCUAGUCCGUUAGCAUUUAGCAUUCAUAAACGAUUAGCAAAUUAGCAAAAACUGACUUACCUCGCCCGUCUGUUGUGAUUCCAGGUCCACUGCUGCACACCGCCUGAAAUUCGGCUGUGAAAAAACAAACAACGUUAGCCACCUGCUAGCACACAUGUCAAAAGCUAACACAUGUUGCAUUAAUAUUAAAGGAUCGUUCGCGACUGGAAGGUGUAUCGUUGUGGUUUACCAGAGUUGAACGCCGGGCAGGGUUGGCAGGGUUCUCCAAAGCCAUGUUCAGGGUUGGCACAGCAGCAUUCAGACUUCGUCACUGCCCCAGGGAAUGGACGCGAACACGUGCCCAUCUUUAUUGCGCCAUAGCAGGUGGUGCGCAUGUGGGUGUCCACGCAGACGCGGCCGUCCAUGUCUAUGGCUAGUCCUGGCGGGCACUCGCAGCGGAAAGAGCCCUCGGUGUUCACGCAGCGGCCGUUCAUACAGAUGCCUGAGGUCUGGCAUUCGUCGAUGUCUGUCAGAAUGAAGCAAAGAAGGAAAUAGCACAAGCCAUUUGAGAAUAACACGUCAAUAACGAAUAAAGAUGUCAAAGGAUGCGACUGUUUGUGACAUUUUAUGUCACUGACAUGAAAGACUAAUGUCAAACGUGUACCAAUGACAUACAAAUAUACGCAAAUGCAAAUGAGAUUGAAAAUUUUCAAUGAGAGAAUGAUUUUCUGAGAAUAACAACUUAAAUUUUGGUCACUAAAGACAUUGAUUAAUGACAUCAGAUGCGAGAACCAAAGACGUCUCAAGAUGUGUGGCAUUAGAAUUGUAAUUAAAAUUAAGAAAGAAAAUAUAAUUUAGAUUUUAACAAUUCCUGCAUCAUGUGACUGUUCGCCUUUGAUGUCAAAUAUGCGCCAAUGACAUGCAGUUAUAUGCAAAGCAUAUUGAAGAGCUGCACUGAAGGAACGAAUUU